rnacentral:SRP_RNA from 1 species
GGGUAAGUCUUGUACGACCAGCUCCUAAUGAACUCCCCCAGGUCAGGAAUGAAGCAAGGGUAAUUGGUUGAGCGGUGCGAUAUAAGUAGCUUACCCUUU